UACAGAGACUGCAAGCGUUAUUCGGAUUCACUGGGCGUAAAGGGUGCGCAGGUGGCCAAGUGUGUUAGGCGUGAAAGCCCGGGGCUUAACCCCGGAAUUGCACCUAAAACUACUUGGCUAGAGCAUUGGAGAGGGGAGCAGAAUUCAUGGUGUAGCAGUGAAAUGCGUAGAUAUCAUGAGGAAUACCAGAGGCGAAGGCGGCUCCCUGGACAAUUGCUGACACACAGGCACGAAAGCGUGGGGAGCAAAAGGG
rnacentral:rRNA from 1 species